UACGGGGGGGGCAAGCGUUGUUCGGAAUUACUGGGCGUAAAGGGCUCGUAGGUGGCCAUCUAAGUCAGACGUGAAAUCCCUCGGCUCAACCGGGGAACUGCGUCUGAUACUGGGCGGCUUGAAUUCGGGAGAGGGACGUGGAAUUCCAGGUGUAGCGGUGAAAUGCGUAGAUAUCUGGAGGAACACCGGUGGCGAAGGCGGCGUCCUGGACCGAUAUUGACACUGAGGAGCGAAAGCCAGGGGAGCAAACGGGAUUAGAUGCCCCGGUAGUCCUGGCCCUAAACGAUGAGUGCUCGGUGUGGCGGGUAUCGAUCCCCGCCGUGCCUAAGCUAACGCAUUAAGCACUCCGCCUGGGGAGUACGGUCGCAAGGCUGAA
rnacentral:rRNA from 1 species